UAUGGCUAUAUCACGUUGAAACAACGGUUUUCGUACGAUCACCGAAGUUAAGCAAUGCCGAGCUUGUUCAGUAUCUCGAUGGGCGACCACUUGGGAAUAUCAGAUGCUGUAUG